GACAGAGGAUGCAAGCGUUAUCCGGAAUGAUUGGGCGUAAAGCGUCUGUAGGUGGCUUUUCAAGUCCGCCGUCAAAUCCCAGGGCUCAACCCUGGACAGGCGGUGGAAACUACCAAGCUGGAGUACGGUAGGGGCAGAGGGAAUUUCCGGUGGAGCGGUGAAAUGCGUAGAGAUCUGGAAGAACACCAAAGGCGAAGGCAGCGUUCUGGGAAGCAACGUGACGCUCAUGUGCGAAAGCUAGGGGAGCG
rnacentral:rRNA from 1 species